rnacentral:rRNA from 1 species
ACAAGCGGUGGAGUAUGUGGCUUAAUUCGACGCAACGCGAAGAACCUUACCAGGGCUUGACAUCCCCUGACCGCGUAUGAAAGUACGUUUUCACCUCGGGUGACAGGGAGACAGGUGGUGCAUGGUUGUCGUCAGCUCGUGUCGUGAGAUGUUGGGUUAAGUCCCGCAACGAGCGCAACCCCUACGUUUAGUUGCUAACGCGUGAAGGCGAGCACUCUAGACGAACUGCCGUUGACAAAACGGAGGAAGGUGGGAUGACGUCAAAUCAUCAUGCCCCUUAUGUUCUGGGCUACACACGUGCUACAAUGGCCGGUACAGACGGACGCAAAGCCGCGAGGUGGAGCAAAUCCUAAAAAGCCGGUCUCAGUUCGGAUUGCAGGCUGCAAUUCGCCUGCAUGAAGUCGGAAUCGCUAGUAAUCGCAGGUCAGCAUACUGCGGUGAAUACGUUCCCGGGCCUU